ACUCGAGUGGCGAACGGGUGAGUAACACGUGGGUGAUCUGCCCUGCACCUCGGGAUAAGCCUGGGAAACUGGGUCUAAUACCGGAUAGGAGCUCCUGCUGCAUGGUGGGGGUUGGAAAGUUUCGGCGGUUGGGGAUGGACUCGCGGCUUAUCAGCUUGUUGGUGGGGUAGUGGCUUACCAAGGCUUUGACGGGUAGCCGGCCUGAGAGGGUGACCGGCCACAUUGGGACUGAGAUACGGCCCAG
rnacentral:rRNA from 1 species